CGCGUAGGCGGCCACCGCAAGUCAGUUGUGAAAGCUCUGGGCUUAACCCAGAAAGGUCAACUGAUACUGCGGGGCUAGAGUGCAGAAGGGGCGACUGGAAUUCUCGGUGUAGCGGUGAAAUGCGUAGAUAUCGAGAGGAACACCUGCGGCGAAGGCGGGUUGCUGGGCUGACACUGACGCUGAGGCGCGAAAGCUAGGGGAGCGAACG
rnacentral:rRNA from 1 species